rnacentral:rRNA from 1 species
CCUACGGGAGGCAGCAGUGAGGAAUAUUGGUCAAUGGUCGGGAGACUGAACCAGCCAAGCCGCGUGAGGGAGGAAGGUACAGAGUAUCGUAAACCUCUUUUGUCAGGGAACAAAGGCGGGGACGUGUCCCCGGAUGAGUGUACCUGAAGAAAAAGCAUCGGCUAACUCCGUGCCAGCAGCCGCGGUAAUACGGAGGAUGCGAGCGUUAUCCGGAUUUAUUGGGUUUAAAGGGGUCGCAGGCGGUCUGUUAAGUCAGAGGUAAAAGCCCGGGGCUCAACCCCGGCCAGCCGUUGAAACUGGCAGUCUCGAGUUGGAGAGAAGUAUGCGGAAUGCGCGGUGUAGCGGUGAAAUGCAUAGAUAUCGCGCAGAACUCCGAUUGCGAAGGCAGCAUGCCGGCUCCACACUGACGCUGAGGCACGAAAGCGUGGGUAUCGAACAGGAUUAGAUACCCUUGUAGUC